AAAUGUUGAAAAAAAAAAUUAAAAAAAAAAAAUAAAAAAAAAUAAAAAAAUAAAGUGUGUGUCUUAGUCAUCUAUUGCCAUGAAGCAAAUUACCUAAUGUUUAGUUGCUUAAAGUUACAAGUGUAUAUCAUCUUGUAUCAUUUCUGAGUGUACAAUUUGGUGAUUUUUAACAUAUUCACAAAAUUAUGCAACUAUCACUACUAUCAUUACUGUGUAAUUCCAGAACAUUUUCAUCAUUCCAAAAAGAAUUGGACAGGAACCCAGGAAUGACUUAGGUGGGUGGUUCUGGCUCUGCUCUUUCAUUAAGUCCCAAUCAAGAAUCAGUCAUUUGAAGGCUUGACUGGACCAGCAGGAUCUGCUCCUAAGAAGGUUCAUUCACAUAGCUGGUAAGUUCCUUCUGGUUUCUAGCAGGAGGCCUCCAUUCUUGAAGGCCCUAGUUCCUUACCAUGUGGACCUCUCCAUAGGGCUACUUGAGUAUCACCAAACAUGGCAGCCUGCUUCCUUCAGAUAUAGUGAUCCAAGAGAGAGAGAGCAAGAGGGAAGCCACAACAUGUUUUAUGUCCUAAUAUCAGAAUGACAUACUAUUACUUCCUCCUUAUUCUAUAGAAACAAGUUAUUAAGCACAACCUACACUCGAGGAGGGAAAUUUGGCUUCACCUUUGAGGGCACCAGCAUCAAAUAGCUUGUGGACACAAUUUAAAACCAUCAGUGAGUUUUUCUAAGCUGGUCACAAUGGCCACGAUGGAGUAGAAUCUGUGCAGUUUGCUGUCAGAUUAUCAUAUCCCUUGAUCUGGACUUUUCAUCUUUUUUUUUUUUUUAAGAUUUUAUUUUUAAGUAAUCUCUACACCCAAUGUGGGGCUUGAAUUUACAAUCCCAAGAUCAAGAGUUGCAUGCUCUACUAACUAAGCCAGCCAGGUGCCCUUGUACUUUUUAUCUUUUCUUAAUGCAAGUAUGGUUCAGUGGUCAGGCACACAGGCCCUAGAGUCAGAUAAACUGGGUUCAAAGCCUGGCUCUCCCUUUCCUAGUGGAGUGCUCUUGGACAAAUAACUUCAGGUUCCCUUUCUGUAAAAUGAAGAAAAUAGCCAUUAGCAAAGUUUUUGUGAUGAUCCUGGGAAUACUUGACUCAAUUUCAAUGUCUUCAAGUGUCGAUGAAACUCAAGACAGCAUAUUUUCUUUUUUUAUUUUAAGACCCAUUAGCAGUCAUUCCCCAUCGCCCCAUUCCAAUUACCCUGCCAACCAACAAUGUAUUUUCUGUCUGUAUUCGUUUGCCUAUUCUGGACAUUUCAUAUAAGCAGAACCAUAUAAUAUGUGGUCUUUUGUGUCUGUCUUCUUUCAUUUAGGAUCAUGUUUUUAAGAUUCAGCCAUACUGUAGUAUAUAUCAGUACUUCAUUCCCUUUAACAGCUGGAUAAUAUUCCAUUGUAUAAAUGUGCUACAUUUUAUUUAUCCUUUCAUCAACUGAUGGUCAGUUGGGUCAUUUCCACUUCCUGCUUAUUAUACAUAGUGCUGCUAUGAACAUUUAUGUGUAAGUUUUUAUAUGAAUACAUCUUUGAUUUCUCGGGGGUAUAUAUCUAGGGUGGAAUUGCUAGAUCCUAUGUUUAACUUUUUGAGGAACCUCCAAACUGUUAGAAAUAGAGGAGUUCAAGGACAAAUUUAUUAAAUUUCCUUUUACUGAUUUCAGAGAUUGGUUUUUUUCCCCAGUAGAAUGAUUUUAUUUGAUUUAUCAAUGAACACGUUGUGUGGAAUUGCCAGCCUGAUUGGAACUAGGUGGAAAUCGAAUCCACAUUUCUUCAUCACUUCCAUGAAGAUUUCAUGAAAGACAGCAGACACUUUGCUUACUUACAUAAACAAACUCUAGAUCUUCCAAAUUCUCCAGGUUAUAGUUAAAACAUAUAUAGUUAUAUAUAACGUAAUCACAACCAGGUUUAAUUAAAAUGUAACUCACUGGAACAAAGUUAAGAAAUAAUAAAUGUAAUCUCUUCAUUUUAGAGAAAGAAAAGUAAGAUGAAGUGACAUGCCCAAGGUCACUAUGCAGUGUCAGAGACAGGAUUUGAAUCGAGUUCCAUUUUUCCCGGGUUAUGCUUGUUGUUCUUUUCUUCUUUUUUGAGGGGGAGAAUCUUUUUUUGUUUGAGUGUGGUUGACACACAAUGCAUGUUUGUUGUUCUUUAUAGGUCACUCAGGGCACAGGUGAAGGGAACAGUCACCUGACUGUUGACAGGGUAUAACCAUUUAGUUCGCUGGCAAAGUAAGCCAUCACUUUAGACACCUAGAUGGCAUAAGCUAGGCAUAAAAUUUCCAGCGAACCUAUUCUGGGCCUUCCUAAUUACCUCUUUUUCUUUAAAUUACAAAAAAAAAGUAUGACAUUUUUACUUUUUAAAUGCUAACAAACUAUCUUUUUAUUAAAAACAUUUUUUUUAAUGUCUAUUUUUUUUUGAGAGAGACAGAAUGCGAGCAGGGGAGGGGUAGAGACAGAGGGAGACAUAGAAUCUGAAGAGGCUCCAGGCUCUGGGCUGUCAGCACAGAGCCCAGUGUGGGGCUCGAACCCGUGAACCACAAGAUCAUGACCUGAGCCAAAGUUGGACACUUAACCGAUUGAGCCACCCAGGAACCCCUAAACUAUCUUUUUAAUAAUAUAUUAUAAAAGUUUUGUGAAUGAGAAACUUUACAAAUCUGUAUAUAGCAUAAUCUACAUUUUUGCCUUUUGUAAACACCUUUCAUACCAUCCCCAGUCACCUCUUCUUUCCUUCGUAUUUCACAGUAAUUCCCAAGAAUGAUUUUGUUACAUCUGUGUGUUGUUACAUCUGUGUUUGUGAUUUGUCUUUGUGCACACUCAGACACUUUAACUUCUGUAAAAGGACUCAAUAUCGUCUUCGAGUUUUUUUUUCUUUUAUGGCAAACUUAAGUCUUUCUUCAUGAUAUUUGUUCUACACUUUCCAAUUUGAACAUCUUUAUCCAUGGAGAAGAAACACAAUAAGCAUCACUGGGUUUUCUUCUCCAGUCCUCUGCAGCUUAUUCGUGAUCUUUUCCAAAGAGUGUCCUGUUCUUUCCCUUUUCACUUUCUGACAUAGGACAUACUCAUUAAAGACUACUUUUCACAGUGCUCCCACAUUAAAAACGAGAACAAAAUGCCUUAGAUAUUGAUACGAAAUAAGCUCUAGGAAAUAUUGUUAAGUGAAGCAAGCAUGGUACAAAUAAUAAAUGUAGGCUACUAUCUUUUGUGUAAAAUUUUAAAAAAUAUAUAGACCAUAUUUCAUUGGUUCUAAAAUGCACAGGUUUUCACAUUUUUGAUGUCUUUGAAAUUAGAAUUCAUUGUACAAUUGACACCAAGACAUAGUUUAAUUGGCAGAGCUUUAAAAAAUCUUUUGUAGUAUUAUAAUAAUAUACCAUAUUUAUAGUAUAUAUAAUAAAUAGUAUAGUAUAUACAGUAUAUAUAAACAUAAUAUUUGCAUCUUAUAUGCAAUUAAUGGCAUCCUAGGUAUGAUAAAAUAUAUUAUUUCAAUUGAUUGCAUACGCAAAAAAUUUUCCCUAGGAGGAUUUGCAAGAAAUCAGUGACACAGGUUGCUCAUAGGGAUGGGUAUUAAGUGGUUGGGGAACAGAGGUGAUAAUUUCUAUUACAUUCCUUUUCAUAUGUUUUGCAUUUUGAAUCCCAUAACUAUGUUGACAAAUAAAAUGUUAGAAUCAUAAAUUCAAAUUUAAAAAAUGCAAUUGGAGGGGUGCCUGGGUGGCUUAGUCAGCUGAGCAUCUGACUCUUAAUUUCGGCUCAGGUCAUGAUCCCAGGGUCAUGGGACUCUGCAUUGGGAACUGCACUGAGCGUGCAGCCUGCUUGAGAUUCUCUCUCUCUUUCCCUCCCUCCCUCUGCUCCUCUCCCCUGCUCACACACUCUCUCUUCCUUUCUAAAGUAAAAAAUUAAAAAAAUAAAAAAUAAAAAUAAAAAAGUCACCUGGACAUGAGUCGACACCACUGCUUCCUUCAGAUUUGUACAGUUUUGUGUUUGUUCCUAGUAAUGACAGACGAGCACUGUGAAGGAAGGGCUGUGCCUGCAUGCAUCACUCUUCAUCCAGAGUCCAGCACUGUGCCCGGCCAGCUACUAACUCCAGCAGACAUCACUCCUUUUUCCCAGGAUUUUUGUCACUUGUAAAUCAUCAACUAGAUAUUUGCUGGUUAAAAUUAAGUUCAAUAUAGCUAUUUCCCUCAUUGCUUCCUUGACAGUUCUACUGAUGAAUCUGUCCCAUAAGGCAAGGCAUAAAUAUAUCAGAUGUUCUGUUUUUGUUAGACUUUGACUUCCAGAAGAACCAGCUAGUAGCAUCUAGAUGAAUGAGGAGGGAAAUAUCUUGAAAAGAAAAAGAAAAACAUUUUAAUUGGCACCAGUACACUUGGCAACAACAGGGAUACCACGAUAGCUCAUACAUGGUGUUUGCUAAAUAAACCAGGAAGCAACUGCAGUGAAUGACUCGAAGAUGUUGGCAGUUAUGCCAUUAAAACAGCACUGCUGACUCAUUCCUGUUGAUGAUGAUAUUUAGAAAUGCAAAGAUCCACUUCCCAGACCACUCUGAAUGUCUUAUACACACAAAACGUAGUAUUAAAUCUCAAGUAGGCAAAAUCAAUCCUAGCAAUUCUGAGUGGCAAAGAAUAACUGAUAACCAGUGUUGAAGAGGUGAGAUGAUACCAGGACUAUUGUGAAAAUAACUCAAAAGAGUUUAACACAGAAGUAAAAUUUUUAGGGUCAGAACUUUUAAGCUUGACAGAGAUGGGAGCUGGUUGGUUGAGGAUAAGAGCGGGAGCCAGGUGGUUGCCAUCAAUUACUGUUGGCAUUUGUGUUCCUUGUUGUAGGCAGGCUGGUGCUGAGUGAAGCAAGCUUUAUGUCCCAGCAGCGAAAUGAACAAUUUUCAGUGGUUUGUGUUUUCGGUUACAAAUACACCACUUCCUAGAAUUAGGACAGACCUAACUUUAUAUAAAUUUAUUUUUUAAUAAGAUUGAUUGUUUAAUGUGCAACUAACAUAAAACAUUUCCACGUGAUGAAAACUUUCAGAUCUUACUCUCUUAGUAACGUUCAAAUAUACAGUAUUGUUAACUACAGUCAUUAUGUUGUACAUUACAUCCCUAGAACUUGUUUAUCUUGUAACUGGAAGUUUUUACUAUUUUAUGAAAUAGUCUACAGACAUUUUUAAGGCAUUAUUUUUUUUUUUUCAACGUUUAUUUAUUUUUGGGACAGAGAGAGACAGAGCAUGAACGGGGGAAGGGCAGAGAGAGGGAGACACAGAAUCAGAAACAGGCUCCAGGCUCCGAGCCAUCAGCCCAGAGCCCGACGCGGGGCUCGAACUCACAGACCGCGAGAUCGUGACCUGGCUGAAGUCGGACACUUAACCGACUGCGCCACCCAGGCGCCCCAUUAAGGCAUUAUUUUUAAUAUAUUUUUAAAAUAUGUACUCUUACUUAUCCAGACUCUGUCUCUCUGGACUCCAGUUCAUUCAGUUUAUUUACCGGGAGAUUAUUUAAAAUAUUUACAACACUAAAAAAUUAUUUUGGGGUAAUUUGUUUUGUAGUGAUAGGUAACUAAUACAUAAAGGUCUAGUUGAAGUAGGCAUAUAACUAUAUAUUUUUUUAGUUCUUGAGGUUUGUGGUACAUAUAUUUAAUUGUGUUCUGUAUUUGGAGUGAAUUAAACUUUCUAAGAUUCAGUUCCAUCAUCUUAAAAUAGGGAUAAAUAUAUCACCUAUUUGUUUUAAAGUUACUUUUAAAACAAAGAAAGUAUAUACUUAGCAGAGUAUCUUACAAAUAUCAAGCAAUCUGUAAGUGUAAGCUAUUUUCAAUUAAUAAACUACACCAUGGUAGUUAGUGUGGCUAGUAGGAACUGAAUAUCUGGUCUUCCUUUUGGAAGGGCAUGUUUAAGGUUAAGCCUCGUAAAACACUAUAUUUAGAAAUAUACGGCCACAGCUCAGUCCUCUAACUUCCUUUUUUAUUUUAAGAUUAUUUGUUUGUUUGUUUGUUUAGAGAGCAUGUGCAGGGGAGGGGCAGAGAGAGAGAGAAUCCAAGCAGGCUCUGUGCUGUCAAUACGGAGCCUGACUCAGGGCUCUGAUCCCAUGAACCAUGAGCUCAGGACCUGAGCCAAAAUCAAGAAUCAAAUGCUCAACUGACUGAGCCACCCAGGCACCCCAUCUAACUUUCUUAAAUCAAGUGCCCAGUAAGAAUUAGACCAAUCUUUUUGUAAUGCAUAGAUACCCCAUCUGGUCACCUGGUGUUCUCAUACACGUGUAGACACCAGCUUAAACUCAUUAAAUUGGGAUCCUGGGGGCUAGUGGGUGGAAAUCAGCAUUUAAAAAGAGCUCUGCUGGUGAUUCUCAUGUAUAUUGAAGUUUGGGAAACACUAGUUAAUAAUUUCUAGAAACAGGUUUGAAAAUUUUGGGAAUUAUAGACCUGCGUCUUUUAACUGACAAAAGCUUGUGGCAGAAAGCUAUAGAUGGCCCUUAUAUAUGCAAUACCUAUUUCUCCUUUUUUUUCCUUAAGCUUUUAUUUUUAAGUCAUCUCUACACCCAACGUGGAGCUUGAACUCACAACCCAAGAUCAAGACUCUUGUGCUCCACUGGCUGAGCCAGAUAGGCACCCCUUUGGUACCUACUUCUGCUAAACUCUAUAAGUUGCAGGAUCCAGCAGGAGUUUCUUGGUAAACUAUUUGGAUUUUCUUAUAUUCAGAUCAUGGUCCAGUCUAACCAAAAUAUCCAGUAAUGCUGUAUGAACAUUAUGGUUUAGCUAACUUUCCACAUUAUUUGCUAAAGCUUGUGGGUACCACCUUCUCAAUUUUAAAGCAUUCUUUUAGGGUGAUCAUCUUUCAGUGUGAAAUUAGGUCAUUUUUUCCUCCAAACAAUGUUUUCUGUAUGUGGUAAUGUUGGUUGCAGGAAAAUUCAUGUAUGUAAAAAUGUUGGUGGUUUUGAUAACAUCUAUUGGCUAGCUUCUUGAAGAACAUUUGGCUGUGGCAGAGUUUUCUUUGUGGUUAGAGAAGAAAUCAGUUUUCUGUGUGCUAUUAUGCUGGCAACUGCCUGUGCUAACUUAUGACUCUUAAAGCUAAGUGUCAUAUUUGAUAAAGGACUAGUAUGCACAAUAUAUAAAGAACUCUCAUGAUACACAAAUCAAAAAACCCAAUGAAAAACUGUGAAAAUAUUUUAACAAACACUUCACCAAAGAAGAUAUAUGGGUGGCAAAUAAACACAUUACUAAUAAACACCAUUAGUCAUUAAGAAAAUGCAAAUUAAAGCUCUAAUGAGAUACUCCUACACACCUAUUAAAGGGUAGAAAAAAAAGAAAUAAAGAAAAAACAAACUAACUAUAUAAUAUCAAGUCCUGGCAAGGGUGUGGAGAUCUCAUGCAUUGCUGGUGGGAAUGCAAAAUGGUACAGCCACUUUAGAAAAUAAUUUAGUAGUCUCAUAAAACUAAAUAUUUACCACAUGACCCAACAAUCCUGUUCAUAGGUUAUUUACCUACCCAAGAAAAUGAAAAUAUAUGUUCACACAAAACACCUGUACAUGAAUGUUCAUAGCAGCAUUAAAAAUAGCCAAAAAGUGGAAAAAACUAGGUGUUCAUCAACUAUUGAAUGGAUAAACAAACUGGUACAUUCACAACGGACUGCUAACCGGCAAUAAAAAACCCUAUUGAUAUAUGAAACAACAUGGAUUAAUCUCAAAUACAAUAUCCUAAGUGAAAGAAACCAGACUCAAAUGGCUACUUACUGCAUGAUUCCAUUUAUAUGACAAUCUGGAAAUGGUAAAAUUACUGAGACAGAAAACAGAUGAAUGGUUGCAGGGGCUGAUCGGGAGGAGGCUGACUACAAAGGGGCAUUUUUUUUAGGUCAUGGAAAUGUUUUAUUUCUUGAUUGUGGUGGUGGUUACAUGACCGUAUGUGUUUGUCAGAAUACAAUAGUUAGGUUUUACUCUAUGUAAAUUAUACUAAAAAACAUGAUUAAAAAAAAAGGCAGGUGCACAAAUGUGGACAUAGACUGAUCUGACACACAGUGCUUUUUUGAAUUUGAAUUCAAGUUAGUGUGUGAGGCUUCCAGUAUUAAAACUCUGACAACAGGCGUUCUGAAUAAGUAUUUCUAGCAGGCAUUUUGCGGGAUAGUUCCAGCUUAUUAAGCUGUAAGAUGGACCAACGGUGUUAGAAGCAAAACCUAGGUCUGAUGUAGAGUCUCCAGACAUGGCUCCCUAUGGUGAGGAACAAAAUAAAUCUGGCCCCAAGAUGCCGCCUUUCAUCCCUUCCCUGCAACCCAACCAGCCAUGCCAUCAUCAGGAUCCUAAUGACUCUUGUGGGGUUUCUCUGCUUAGAUCUCAGGUUAUUUAAUGGAUAUUUUAGGCCUUUGAGGGGGUCCCUGGACACUACUUGAAGAUGAAAAGCUCAUCAGGAGAAAAUUGUACAAUAUGUUUGCUCAUGAAUGCAACUGAUUGAGCCAGUGAAUUUGCCAGUCAGGUGAUGAGCAGAACAGUGGACCUUGCAAUAGAUAUAGUAUUUCAUCUAUUAUUCAGGUAUUUUUUUGUCUUAAUUUUGCUUUUAAUUGCAUUCAUUACAAAAUACCUUGAGGGGUUUUAAAAAAAAAAAAAGUAAGUGGGACAAAACACUGGAAAUCUCAGUUUUCAGCUAAAACAGAAAUUAUAUUUUAGUUCAACAUGUACGUCCUAUGAUUUUACUUCAUGUAAGAUAAAUGUAUUUAAUUCCUUUGAAUCACGCCUGAAUAUCCAUUUCCUACAAAAAUCUACAAUUAAUUUUCUCAGGCUUAACUGAUGGCUCUUCAAGAUCCAUUCAAUAUUUUAUCAAAACUCAGGAUUUUAAUCCAUUGAAUCUAUUUUCUUUUACACAAAAAAACUGACAUACUUAUCUGUGCUAGAACAAUGUCCUCAGACUAGACUAGCCCUUUGGAAUUAUGCUGCUGUUCCCAGACUGAAAAAGUAAUAGGAAAGGCCAAGUUUGGGAACCCAUUCACCAGCCUGGUCUAGCUCUCUUAACAAGAAACCCCUUUUCCCCUUUCACGAAGAUGGCGCCGAAGGCGAAGAAGGAAGCCCCUGCCCCUCCCAAAGCCGAAGCCAAAGCAAAGGCUUUGAAGGCCAAGAAAGCAGUGCUGAAAGGCAUCCACAGUCAUAAAAAAAAGAAAAUCCGCACAUCACCUACAUUCCGACCAUCCAAGACACUGCGUCUCCGAAGACAGCCCGAAUAGCCUUGAGAGGGUGCCCCCAGGAAAAACAAGCUUGACCAUUAUGCCAUCAUCAAGUUCCCCGUGACUACCGACUCAGCCACGAAGAAAAUAGACAACAACACUCUUGUGUUCAUUGCAGAUGUCAAGGCCAACAAGCACCAGAUCAAACAGGCUGUGAAGAAGCUCUACGACAUUGACAUGGCCAGGGUCAACAUUCUGAUCAGGCCCGAUGGAGAAAAGAAAGCAUAUGUUUGACUGGCUCCUGACUAUGAUGCUUUGGAUGUUGCCAACAAAAUUGGGAUCAUCUAAACUGAGUCUAGCUGGCUAAAUCUAAAUUUUUUCAUCAUAAAAAAAAAAAAAAAGAAAAA
rnacentral:lncRNA from 1 species